AACACCCGGACCCAUCCCGAACCCGGAAGUUAAGCCCUCCAGCGCCGAUGGUACUGCGACGGAGACGUCGUGGGAGAGUAGGACGUCGCCGGAC
rnacentral:rRNA from 1 species